CGCGGCGUAGCUCAGUGGACAGAGCGCCUGGCUGACGACGUACCGGAGGAGAUUGCAUCCCUCGGUAUGGGCCAGGAGGGCGUGGGUUCAACUCCCACCGCCGCACCCA
rnacentral:tRNA from 1 species